GACGAACGCUGGCGGCGUGCCUAAUACAUGCAAGUCGUGCGGACCUCUUAAAAGCUUGCUUUUAAAAGGUUAGCGGCGGACGGGUGAGUAACACGUGGGCAACCUGCCUGUAAGACUGGGAUAACGCCGGGAAACCGGGGCUAAUACCAGAUCGUUUUUUCCUCCGCAUGGAGGAAAAAGGAAAGGCGGCUUCGGCUGCCACUUACAGAUGUGCCCGCGGCGCAUUAGCUAGUUGGCGGGGUAACGGCCCACCAAGGCAACGAUGCGUAGCCGACCUGAGAGGGUGAUCGGCCACAUUGGGACUGAGACACGGCCCAAACUCCUACGGGAGGCAGCAGUAGGGAAUCUUCCGCAAUGGACGAAAGUCUGACGGAGCAACGCCGCGUGAGUGAAGAAGGCCUUCGGGUCGUAAAACUCUGUUGCCGGGGAAGAACAAGUGCCGUUCGAACAGGGCGGCGCCUUGACGGUACCCGGCCAGAAAGCCACGGCUAACUACGUG
rnacentral:rRNA from 1 species